GGAAUCCCCUGGAAGAAACCUCAGCCCUCUCUGUUGAGACACCAAGUUACGUGAAAGUCUCAGGAGCAGCUCCGGUCUCCAUAGAGGCUGGGUCAGCAGUGGGCAAAACAACUUCCUUUGCUGGGAGCUCCGCUUCCUCCUACAGCCCCUCGGAAGCCGCCCUCAAGAACUUCACCCCUUCAGAGACACUGACCACGGACAUCGCAACCAAGGGGCCCUUCCCCACCAGCAGGGACCCUCUUCCUUCUGUCCCUCCGACUACAACCAACAGCAGCCGAGGGACGAACAGCACCUUAGCCAAGACCACAACCUCAGCGAAGACCACGAUGAAGCGCCCAACAGCCACGCCCACGACUGCCCGGACGAGGCCGACCACAGACGUGAGCGCAGGUGAAAAUGGAGGUUUCCUCCUCCUGCGGCUGAGUGUGGCUUCCCUGGAAGACCUCACUGACCCCAGAGUGGCAGAAAGGCUGAUGCAGCAGGUGAGUGGGCACUUAUCGGGCCAGGGGAGUAGAGGAAGGGGUGAGGUUCGCAGGGGCUGCAGGGAAGACCCGCAGGACACAGAAGAGCAGCUACCGCACUUGGAAGGGAGUCUCGUUUCUUAUGGAGAAUUAGGAGCUGAAUCUGAGGAUCUCUGCCUGGCUUUGCUUCUGCCUGCCUUCUCCGAGUUCUUCAUUUCCUUCUCUGCAAUGUAAACAUGUGACUCCUGGAGCCCCCAAUUUCUUCUGGUCCUUGGAAGCUUGGCCUUCUGGCCCCUGAGGCAAAGGUCAGUGAUAUUGAUGGGAGGGUAGGUGGGACUCUUGGUUGCAAGUGGCAGAAACCCAAGUCAGAGAAGUUUAUGCAAAAAAAAAA
rnacentral:sRNA from 1 species